rnacentral:rRNA from 1 species
AACAGAGGAUGCAAGCGUUAUCCGGAAUUAUUGGGCGUAAAGUGUCUGUAGGUGGCUUUUCAAGUCCGUCGUCAAAUCCCAGGGCUCAACCCUGGACAGGCGGUGGAAACUACCAAGCUGGAGUACGGUAGAGGCAGAGGGAAUUUCCGGUGGAGCGGUGAAAUGCGCUGAGAUCGGGAAGAACACCAACAGGCGAAAGCACUCUGCUAGGCCGUCACUGACACUCAGAGACGAAAGCUAGGGGAGCGAAUGGG